UACAGAGGUCUCGAGCGUUAAUCGGAUUCAUUGGGCUUAAAGCGUACGUAGGCGGUUGUGCAGGCAUCGUGUGAAAUCCCCUGGCUCAACCAGGGAACUGCUCGGUGAACCGCACGUCUUGAGGCAAGUAGAGGCUGUCGGAACGAUAGGUGGAGCGGUGAAAUGCGUAGAUAUCUAUCGGAACGCCGAAGGUGAAAACAGGCAGCUGGGCUUGUUCUGACGCUAAGGUACGAAAGCGUGGGGAGCGAACGGG
rnacentral:rRNA from 1 species